GAUGAACGCUGGCGGCGUGCUUAAUACAUGCAAGUCGAACGAACGGACGCGAAUCUUGCUUCUCUGAUGUUAGCGGCGGAGGGGUGUGUCACAUGUGUAUAAUCUCCCUAUAUUACUGGUAUAUCUUCGGGACACCGGCGCUUAUACCGUAUAAUCUUCUGCACCGCAUUGUUCAUUAGUAAAUUACGGUCUUUCUGUCACUUAUAGAUGGAUCCGGGCUGCUUUAGCUAGUUGGUACGGUAACAGCUUACCAAGGCAACGAGGCAUAGCCGACCUGACAGAGGGGUCGGCCACACGGGAACGGAGACACGGUCCAGACGCCUACGGGAGGCACCAGUAGGGAAUCUGCCGCAAUGGUCGAAAGCCUUACGGAGCAACGGCGCGUGAGUGAUGGAGGUCUUCCGAGCGUAAAACUCUGUUAUGAGGGAAGAACAGAUGUGGAAUGAACUGAGCACAGCUUGACGGUACCUAAUCAAAAAGCAACGGCUAACUACGUG
rnacentral:rRNA from 1 species